GAGUUGUCUGUCAUGAUUAAGAAUCAUCCUCGCUUUUCUAGUAGAGGGGGAGAAGACAGGAUUUCUCGUGUCUCUGAUUCUUUUCUUUUUUUUUUUUUUUUUUUUUUUUUUUAAGUGGCCGCACCUGCAGCAUAUGGAAGUUCCCAGGCUAGGGGUCGAGCCGCAGCCACUGUAGAAGCAACACGAGUAAUUAUGUUUUGAGCCACGCGGGAAGUCCUCUGAUUCUUUUCAAUUGCCUUUAGCUCAAGAUAAUCCUUAUGUCAGAGUAUCAUAUUUUCACUCCCCAUUUGAAAUUUUAAGUUUCAUAUAUUAAAAAUCAUGUUGGUAGCUAGGGAAAGAGAUUUGAGUUAGAAGCUGUGAGAUAAGAGAUCUGUGAAGGAUGAGAAAAAUGUGGAUUGGAAAAAGCAGAAAAGAACAAAUCUAAGCACAUUGCUCUGUAUCUUAUUGAAUCAGUCUCUCAAUCCUGGGAAUAAGACUGUCCAGAUAAACAGUGGUGUCUCAUUUCUGGAGGCAGUGGUGCAGUUGGGAAUAGGGAAUCCACUUAAGUUAGUCUUCUAUAUGGUGUGCGCAUUCAGGCAUUUAAUGAGGUGUGUUUCUGUGGAAACAAAAGAAAAACAAAGUUUAAUGAUUAAAACAAACUUUUAACCCAGUUUCUGAAUCCAUAGUGCAGUCCUGAUUUCUAGAUGUUGGGCUUGAAAUGUGCUUAGGUAGCAGAGUGGGAACAUGCGGUGGUAAUUCAAUGAAUUUCCCAUUUUAUAGUUUGAAUGUCUCUGCUGAUGGCACAUAUAUCAUUGUCACAUUCAUGGUUUCAUGGUUAUUUUUCAGAACAGAGCAUAGAAGCAUCUGACUUAAAUUUGCAGAGCUUUUUAAAGUAGUCACAAUAAGGACCUGGGCAGGCAGAUUUUUAGUUCUUAGUGACUUCAUGUCAAGAGGGUGAGAGAAAAAUGGGAAACCUUCAUUACCGGCAGAGUUCUCAAAAAUACAAGAUUCAGUUUACAAAGAGAUAAAAAUAGCUCAAAGAUAAUGAACAUAUAUAAAGGUAGGUUAUGAUUUUUUAUUGAAAUGUAAAAUUUCUCCCUACCAGUCAACCCCCAUUUCUAUCAAAGAUAAUCAAAAUAGGACUAAUUUGUUUAUAGAAUAACUCUAGCCUCAUUAAGCUUGGCUUGAUAAAUAAUCAAUCAAUAAAUAAUAUAAGUUUAGUAAGAAUAGUAAUUGACCAUACAGACUACUUUACCAAAAAAUUUAAUAAGGGAUCUCAGAUUAGACUUUUAAAAGCCUCUUGAGGCUGGGAAGUCAACAUAAGAAUCUGCCAUUAGAUUUUCCUUCAAUAUCUUUUGAGUUGGUGAAUUUCUCUCUUGAUGAGGUUCUCAAAAUAUUUUAAGAUUCCUGGGCCUGCCAGGAAGUGAUGUUUCUUACCCACCUGUGAGUUUAGGAACUCUGUAAGCCUGAUACCAGAUCAGUUUUUUCAAGGAGCUUUGUAAGCAUUGGCACUAUAAAUUCAACUCACUUUCUUAAAUCUGUCUGGUCAUAUCUGAUUCUAUUCAAAUCAUUCUCAAAUAUGACAUUCCAGUCAAAGUCUUGGUAAAAUAACCAAUGUUUUUAAUUGUAUCCUGUUACUUGGAGAACAGAUUUUUUUUGAACUUAUACAAAUAACAUUAUUACUAUGAAAAUAAGAAUAUUCAAUAAAAGUUUUCCAAAUUUUGGAGGGGUCAGGUAAGGAGAAAAGUAAAUGUUUCAUUCUUAUUUACAAAAGUAUAAUUCACUGGUUAUUGCAAGCCAUAGUUAGUGACAGCUUAAGAGGAAUAAGAAAAAGGCAUCUUUAAAUAUGGCAAACAAAACAUCAAAGAGCCAAUAAUGUUUCAAACAAAAAGUUACAGAAUUGUAAUCAUCCUUAUCAGUUCAUCAUGUAAUUCAUUUUUGUUCUACUUGAUCUUAACUUAGCAGUUUUAGAAACCCAUCAGUUUCUCCAUCAGGUUUAUGGAAAUUUUUACCUAGUUCAGUGGCAUCAUCUUAAAAGUUAUCAGAAAUCUGUACUCCAGAGUACUUAUCAGAGUUUUCUCGUGAAUUUCUUUGAAGACAAGCCCUUUGGGACUAUAGCUGAUUGCAUAUGCUUUCAGAGAAUAAUCAAAGUAAAACCAUAACCACAACAAAAGACUUAACAACAGUCAUGGUUAAAAAUCUGAUGAGAGUUUAUUAUAAUGCAAUUGAGUAGGUAAUUUAGUUGUUUUUGUGACACAACAUUUUAAGAUAAUCAGAAUUAUGACCGAUAGCAUUAAAUCAGGACAUAUGGACUCAUAGGUACAGUAAGUUAAACUGCACAAGUCAGAUUGGGACUUGAAACCAUGGGAUGGGAUGCAAACCCAGCCAAGACCCAAAUUGGGGCUUGAACUCACUGUCUUUUAAUUACAAUCAUACACCUGGGCUCAGUGACUUACUGAAGUCCAAGUUCUUUAUGUCUUAGCACUGAAGGAAUUCAGUAAGAGGAGAAUGAUAUGUAGAUUUAUCGAUAGUUAGAGUGUGGGCCAUCUCAAAAGGCCAGAGUGGCCUGGAAGAUACACAUUCCAUAGACAGAAUGUGGUCCAUCUCAAAAGACAAGAGAGUGGCCCCAGGAAAAACACACUCCUUAGACAGAAGGUGGGCCAUCUCAGAAGGCAAGAGGCCCGGAAAUAUUGGGUGGUGAGUUUUUACGGGUGUUGCUGAGACUCCAUUGUCUCUGUUCACCACUGCCGAAUAGAAAUGUGGAGACAGAGUUUUGGGUGAAGAAGAAAAAGAUAGCUUUGAUUGUUUUGCCAGGCAAAGGAGGCCACAGCAGGCUAAUGCCUUAAAGACUGUGCAUCCUUUGGGAGAUGUUCAGGAAGUUUUAUAGUAAAAAGCAGAAAAAAAGAGCUUUCAGAUAGGAAUCAAGAUUGGGGAAAACAUGCAUUCUUCUUUCUUUAGGGGAAUCUUAGUCAUCAAAGCUGGUGUCACGUGAUCUCAGCAUGAUCGUGAUGGUGGUCUUCUGGGUUACUGCCUAGAAUAACAGUACUUGGGGAAAGGGCAUAUUGAUCAGAGAUUAGUACAAACUAGGAAAAUUCCUGAAAAACAGCAAGUGCUAAUAAUCUUUAACCCAUAGGCAAUUGUGCUUGUGGUGUAUAAUUUUUAGUUUACGGGCAAUUGUGUUUAGGAUGCAAUUAAGCCAAGGAGGAGGACAAGGAAGGACUCUAAACUUUUCAGUUUUAAAGUAUUCACUUCAAAAAGAAGGUGUAUAAGAUGCCUAUGUUAUUAUGCGUAUCCCUUGAAAGGGAACCAGGAUCCUGCCCCAAAGCUGCACUAUUGUUUCUUGCCUGCUCCUUCCUUGUCUUUGCACCCCCAGACUUCCCUGAUCAGCAACUGUCUGAACCUGACCCUCGGAACUCAGAGAAGGUCAUGGAGGUUGUAUGAGGCCCAUUUCCAAAAAAAAAAAAAGCAAGAAGUGCUAGACCCAGAAAGGCUUUUGCACCCAGGAGCUCCAAAGAGCCCUGCUUGGUUUCAUGGGCUGGGGGCAUUAACAAAUGUCUAGAAGUUUCAUAAGAUUUUUUGAGCACUUCUAUUAAUGACAAAUAUUCAUAAAAGUAUAACCUAAAGAGGGUUAAAUAUCACUUCUUACUUGAUAAUGUUUCCUAUGUAAUUUAAUAUACCGAAUAAACCUUAUCAAUUUAACAUCUCUCUUGUUAUAAGAUGAAAGAACAAAUCUUUUGAGAUUUCAGGGACCCUCAGGGGAAUCUCAAAGUUGGUUCAAGAUCAAAAAAACCAUUUAGAAUUUGAUUUUUUCAAAAUUUAGAAGUUUGACAAAAGUUUGAAAACAUGAUUAAAGAGAAUCAUAAAUCGCUAUUGUCGGGGAGAUGGCUCAGAUCAUCAGUGUUGGAAAAUGAGACACAUGAACAUGGGGAGAUCUCGACAAGGCUUUUCUGCAGAAGGACAUGAGUGCUCAAAAAGUGCAGGCAAAGAAGAAAAGAUUCUCCCUAUUUAUCCCUACCGCAGGUGAUGUACCUGUCCCCUAACCCAUUGGUCAGGUCAGGGUGCACAUUCUUCUUGGUUGGCUAAUUUGAAACAAAUUAUUACUGGGAGAAGAGAGAAAGAGGAGGGGGGGGGGGUUGCAGGAAGGCGUUUCAGCUGAAACCAGAGCAAAAUGGAGUAACCAAGAUUUCUUUGAUGGAAAAGACAUUAUGUUACUUUCCACACUAUGAAACAAUACUUGUUAAUUUAGCAAAACUGACAAUAAAAGAGUUCAAAUGCCAAUAUAGUAAGUGACAUACCUGGAAAUAAAAACAAAACAAAAUAAGAAAACAAGACCUUAUCUAUUUCAAUAUUAAGAAGACUUGAUUUUCUUAAGUAAUCAAAAACCUGAUAAAGAUGACGUGAAACACAGGUAAUCAUUCUGAUAAGACACAGAAUUUUUUUUCUAGUCAGAUUAUAAAGAAAAGCAUCAAAUUAUAUUUCUGGCGGAUGGAACAAUUUAGGCAGUUAACAAAUCAGCUUUUUGGUGAAUGCUAAAAGUUUUUAGUGCUAUUUGUGAAUAAGACUUUUAAGAAUUUUUCGUUUUCCCUGAUAUGUGGUUUUAUGAAAACUGUGGACUAAAUUUUGGGGUAAGGACUCAUUGGAAAUACUGAGCAGCAGUUUGUUUUCAAAAACCUCUUUUUUCCCUUUUUCUUCUUUCCAUCUCUGCUUGCUGGUAGGUGCUUUAGCUAGCUGUUAUCUCUUGGGAUAUUUAAAUUUUAAAGACUUGGUAAGGUUUACAUCUUAAAGGGACAGAGAGUGGAUUUAGGUCCCCCCCCCCCCAAGAAGGUGUCUAGGGGCAUAUUUGCUAUUAUCAGAAAUCCAGGGCAGUGCCUAUUAAAAUUUUUUUUUCCUUAAGUGUAGACUGUCCAAUGAAUUCUUUGCAGUGGGGCACCCAGAAUACAUUCUCAAAGAGCUUUGUAUGGGAAGGCCUGAAGUUCUUGUCUGAUAGUAAAGGACAGUAAAGACCAAGCAUCCUCUGUGUUCCCAGAACCUUUGUUAAGGAACAUAUUUCCUAGCUAUCAGUAUUGACUUAAGUCUCACAAUUGCCUGAGUGUCUUUCAUAUCUUGAUGUCUUUUCUAAGUUUUACCUCUACUUCCUAAUCUGGUUAAGAACUAGGAAAUAACUCUCCUGUUCUUUCCCUCUCUUUUUUAUUUUCCUUCUUUUAAUCCAAUCUUCCCCUAGGUAUCACUAAGAUAUUUAUUUAGGAUGAGUGCUCUCUAAAAAUCUUUUUAUGUAUUUUCCAAAUGGAAUAUUUAUCAUCAGGCAUUCAACAAGUGUGAUCUUCAAAGGUAUAUAUCCUUUCCAAAUGUGGCCCAAACUAGAAAGCCUCGUUAUGGAUAGACCAACAGGCCACGUUCCUGGCUUAGAGUAAAUUUUUAUCAUGGAGGCAAGAGGUGUCCCUGGAGUGAGAACAGAAGAUAUAGCCCCCUUGAUCCAAAAAGGCCACUCACAUCCCAAGACAGUAAAAGAAAGCAGAAACUUUUAUUGCCACAGGCAGUUAGAAAUCUCUGGCCUCCCACAAAAAUGAGGUACCUUCCAUUCUAGACCCAUUAGUCUAUGAUGCCUGGUAGGCUAUACAGGGAUGAGAUUUUCCAAGCACCAACAAGACAGUGCAAGGAAAAGAUACCAGUUGCCCCUUAUAUGUUGGGGUCCCUUAUUUAGACAAAUUCCCCUGAGAAUUUGCACAGAUGGUAGGAGUAUGUUUCAGAUCCCCAGCUUGACGGAUGGCCACCUGAAUAUGCAAACCCUACACCCUGCGCGUCCCAGCAAGCAGAAAAAGGGAGAGUGCACUUUCACUGGAUCCCAGCCAACCUCCCUCAAGACACAGAACAAGACAGAGGAAGGAUUUCAUCUCUUUUUUAAAAAUUGGUGACCCACAGCAAAGUUUGUCUAAAUAGACUCUGGUCUGGUGAGAACCAUGGACUUGCCAGUUUGUGAGGCUGACUCAAGCAACAAGCUUCUAGGAUCAUGCCUGUGUUUUACUUUGUGACUCUCCUCUUAUGACAAGUGACACAAAAGAUAGUGAAAAGGGGAAAUUGUGGCUACCCUAGAGAGAAUGGGUCAAUAACAAAUGUCCAAAGCCAUAAACGCCCAAAAUAGUUCACACAAAUGUUUUCUCCUUUUAAUCUAAAUUUGGAAAGCAUAAAUUAUUAUCACCUUUUUUCAAUUGAUUCUACAGAUAGCAAUCUGGGAGGCUGUUUUGGUAAGAAUUCUUCCCUUUGGCUACUUUGGUCAGUUGUUCUAGGUGGUAGCCUCUGGGGUAGGUGGAAUGUACUAGGCAUCCUAUCUUGCUCAUCAAAACUAUAGGGGAGGAGUUCUCACUACUGCGCAACAGGAUCCCGGGAACACUGGGACACAGCACACAGCAUAGUGGGUUAAGGAUCCAGUACUGCUGCAGCUGCAACUUACUUAGGUCACAACUGUGGCUUGGAUCUGAUCCCUGGCCUAGGAACUCCAUAUGCCUUGGGGCAG
rnacentral:lncRNA from 1 species